GGGGAGGAGGAGAUGAAGCCUGCCUAUAGGUAUCUGUGCACUAGGGGAGGAGCUGGGGAGGAGGAGAUGAAGCCUGCCUAUAGGUAUCUGUGCACCACAGCAGGAGGUGAGGAGGAGGAGAUGAAGCUGAAAAGACAGAUUCCAGAGGGACAACAAGGCAUUUUCGAGGCCACAACCUCUGCAAGAGUGAGCUCUGAGACAAUGUGUAAAUACAGUAAUCAUCAUCAGCAUCAGUUAUUUUUAUGUGAGAACACAAAAUCCACUCUGCAUUUCCAAGCAUACAACACAUCAGCAGGUGUAAUUUGAUUCUUGAGAGGUGGGGCGCAUAUGGAUCCAUCCACAGAAGAGGCAGCUAUGAGCUGGACCCUGGGCAGGGCUCCUCACCUCACGGAGGAGCCAAAGGCAAGGCAAGCAGCGGGGCCCACCCCUCUCUGGGAGUCCCGGGGACCACACUGUAUGGUGGGGCAAAGGGGCACAAAGGCUGGCUGACCCGUCUAUGGGGCCAGUUCCCUCCAACACCUUCUCCUUGCUUUUCAUCUCAGGGGGAAAAAUUACUCCGUCACCCUGGAGUUAGGUAAGAAAGGGAAGUUUCCUCCUAACUGCCACUCCACUCUGAGAUCAUCAGGCAGAGCUGAUAUUUUAACAAGUAUGUACCAGUAAUGACCAUUCCAGUUGUUAAAAAACAACUGCUCUGUACCACCUGGUCAAUAGCCGCUGCCCUGAAACCCUUAAGUGGCCCUUCCUAAGCCUACCCCACAACACUUCCCAUGGCCUGGUCCCUUCCCCAGGAUCUCCCUGAAAUUCAGCAACUCAAAAGUUAAUGCAUGGCCCAGCAGGGGACGUCCAGGACCCAGCCUCCUCCAGACAGGAUUUGUUCUGAUUGGUCAGUGCCCAAGCCACACCAGUCGCUAAAUAUUUUGAAUGCAGCCCCUGCUAGGAGACCUCAAGCAACCUGAGAAGCCAGCACUAGGGACUGGAAGGAGGACCCUGUAGAUCUUGCUUGCCUGUUCCUUUCUGGAGCAGAAAGCUUUUGCUACUAGAAUGUUUCUCUUAGUUUUUCUACUAAGGGUCUUUCCGUAGAAGAUCUGGCCUGGAAACAAACACGGUAACACAAGAGUGGGGAAGAAAGCAACGAAAUACAACUCUCCGAGCUAAGAGCUACCCAACCGGCAGGAAAGCCUUGCCGGCUGCCCGGUUCCUGCCCUCCCGCCUCCACCUCCCUGGGGGCCCAGGGUCAACGCUUCCUCAAAUCAAAUUGCCUAACUGAAGAAACAAAGCCCCCAGGGCCAGCCAGCUGGGAAAACAAAGCAGGAGGCAUAGCAAUAUCUGCUGCCUUGGUUUUCUUUUCCAUAUCGGUACAGGUUCAGAGGCCGGGGGACAGAGGGUUGCACCAACACACACACGCAGGUACCCACGUGCACACAAGCAUGCGCAUGCACGCAGGUACCCACACACGCACAUGGGUACCAAUGCAUGCACACAGGUAUCUGCACACACACACAAGCACACACACAGGUACCCAUACGUGCAUAAGCACACACACGCAGGUACCCAUACGCACACAAGUACCUACACGCACACAAGCACACACACAAAGGUACUCACAUGCACACAAGCAUGCACAUCCACACAAGUACUCACACGAACACAAGCACACACACACAGUUACCCACAUGCACACAAGCGCACACACACAGGUACCCACACGCACACAGGUACUCACACGCACACAAGCACGUACAUGCACACACACGCAUACAAGCACGCAUAAGCACGCAAGCAGACACACUGAUAGUAUCCUAGAAAACAUGAAUUAGACUGCAAGGUUAUUCUCAGUGUACCUGGGAAACAUUUUUGCCAUCUGCGAGUCGGGCAAGGUAUUAUAAUUGUUGGCUGGUUUUCUGUGGUUUAACCUGUCAUCGUUUGUCUAGAAAUCCUGCCUGACCAGUACUUGGCCUGCCUGAUUGUGCAGAGACCCACCCUGAGAACAGCAGUCUAUCACAAAUGCCCAGGUUAGCACAAAAACUCACUAGCCAUCAGUCAUGCUACAAAGAUCACAGAGAGCGCCAUCUCCUAGCUCCCCCUUAAGUGCGGCAAUCUUUCCAAAACCCAGUCCCAUGAAGUCGGGACAGGAGGGAUGGCCACUUCCUUACCCGCUUGUUGUCCGCAGGGCUGUGGUAGAACUGGGCGAUCACAGCUUCACUCCUAUUUCCCACGCCAAAGUUUAACUUGUCUGAAAUUUUCUUGAAUGAUUUUCCGUAGUCGUAAGACACGUACACCUGGAAUACAGAGAAAAGGAGAUGAAAAAGAAAGAGUUGGUGAGAAACUGGCAGAAAGAUCUCUUUCUUUUUUUUUUUUUUUUUGAGACAGAGUUUCACUCUUUUUGCCCGGGCUGGAGUGCAAUGGCGCGAUCCCAGCUCACUGCAACAUCUGCCUCCCGGGUUCAAGCGAUUCUCUUGCCUCAGCCUCCCAAGUAGCUGGGAUUACAGGCACCUGCCACCACGCCCAGCUAAUUUUUUUUUGUAUUUUUAGUAGAGACAGGGUUUCACCAUGUUGGCCAGGAUGGUCUCGAUCUCUUGACCUUGUGAUCCGCCUGCCUUGGCCUCCCAAAGUGCUGGGAUUACAGGCAUGAGCCACCGUGCCCAGCCAGAAAGAUCUCUUUCAAACAUCCCAUCCUGGAUCCUGAACAUGGCUCCCAUUAGGUGCCUGAUAGGAAAUGACAGAUGUUACCAGAUAACACACAAAGGUGAGGCAGGGCACCUCUAUGUCUGUCCCCAAGCAUGUGGGGGCAGAAAGCAUGGGACCCCUGCAGUCCCCACUGCCUGGAAUACACAAGCCUCUUUUCUGAGGCCAAGGCAAGUCCCUGGAGCAGGAGACAAAUGAUAGAAACAGUAAUAACCUCCUCACCGGGGCUGAGUUCAGUGUUUAACAAAUUACAUCCAGAGGAGGGAGAAUGUGGCUAGCUGAGGGGAAUGGAACGGAGGAUUUGUUUUGCCAUCUGUUGAAUGGUUCCCAAAACGUAUCUAAUUCUUCAUUCUUCUGCUGGGAAGUUCUGUUUGUAUAGCAUUCCAUACAAAAGAGAAGAAAA